AAAAAGACAAUGAUUAGGAAAAGUAGUUGUUUACUGUAUUUUAAGAGAGUGCUUGUCUGGUGUAAAAGCAUAAUACAUUUCAAUGAAAAUCACCUAGGAGUUGGUGGCUGAAAGGAAAAUUCUUAUUAAGCUUACACGUAAUCUCGCGUUAAGAGAUAGGAUAUGAUAGUAUCUGAAUUUAAAUCAAUAUAUGUUUUCAGGAAAAACUGAAUUUAAGUGUAUUGAUAUUUCACCAUGGGUGGUUUAACGAGUAUAUUUUCUCGUCCUGUUU
rnacentral:ncRNA from 1 species